AUAAGUAAUKAGANUUGCAGAUUCAGUGAUCAUCGAUCUUUGAACGCACCUUGCGCUCCUUGGUAUUCCGAGGAGCAUGCCUGUUUGAGUGUCUUGA
rnacentral:rRNA from 1 species